GCGCCGCUAGCUCAACGGCAGAGCAGGGGCCUUUUAAGCCCAAGGUUGCAGGUUCGAAUCCUGCGCGGCGCA
rnacentral:tRNA from 1 species